rnacentral:rRNA from 1 species
GACGAACGCUGGCGGCGUGCUUAACACAUGCAAGUCGAACGGUGAAGGGGCCUGCUUUUGUGGGCCCUGGAUGAGUGGCGCACGGGUGAGUAACACGUGAGUAACCUGCCCCCUUCUUCUGGAUAACCGCAUGAAAGUGUGGCUAAUACGGGAUAUUCUGGGUCUGUCGCAUGAUGGGUCUGGGAAAGAUUGCGCCUUUGGGUGUUUUUGGUGGGGGGUGGGCUCGCGGCCUAUCAGCUUGUUGGUGGGGUGAUGGCCUACCAAGGCGGUGACGGGUAGCCGGGCGGAGAGGGUGGACGGUCACACUGGGACUGAGACACGGCCCAGAAUCCUACGGGAGGCAGCAGUGGGGAAUAUUGCACGAUGGGCGCAAGCCUGAUGCAGCGACGCCGCGUGAGGGAUGGAGGCCUUCGGGUUGUAAACCUCUUUCGCCAGUGAAGCAGGCCUGCUACUUGUGGGUGGGUUGACGGUAGCUGGAUAAGAAGCGCCGGCUAACUACGUG